GCUCCUGCAGUGCUCGGCCAAGCUCAGCCCUUGUUCAGCACACCAGCCCUGUGAGCCACGCUGUCCCUGGAGCCUGGCUCGGAGGAUGCGAGGAGGAUUCUCCAGCAGGCAAGCAUGGUCAGAGGGGCCACUGGGUCGCCAGAUGGAGUCCCUGUGCCGAUCCCACAGUACACGGAGAGGAGCAGAAAAGCGGCCCCCACCUCUGCUGAAUGGAGCCCCACCAUCCUUCAAUGACCAGCUGGCACCUCGUCCUUGACGUGCCCCAUCGCACUUCCUUCUCCCGCCCACGAGGACCUCGGUAAUGUCGCCCCUGAAACUGCUGCGGAACCUGGAGCCCACUGUAACCCAGAAUUGGAAUCCCAGCUCAGCCCCUGCACACCUGAUUGCCCGGAGAAAUGCCUUAUUCCUGAC
rnacentral:lncRNA from 1 species